GGCCUCCUGGUGCUUAACCACAGGCAGUGUGCUGACACCGACUGUACAGAGAGAGGAAGCAGAAUAACCCCCUCUAUACACCUCAGCCCAGGCCCCUUGCCUGGUCUGCAUUGUGACUGGGGGGACAUGG